UUUAUGGAGAGUUUGAUCCUGGCUCAGGAUGAACGCUGGCGGCGUGCCUAAUACAUGCAAGUCGAGCGAACGGACGAGAAGCUUGCUUCUCUGAUGUUAGCGGCGGACGGGUGAGUAACACGUGGAUAACCUACCUAUAAGACUGGGAUAACUUCGGGAAACCGGAGCUAAUACCGGAUAAUAUUUUGAACCGCAUGGUUCAAAAGUGAAAGACGGUCUUGCUGUCACUUAUAGAUGGAUCCGCGCUGCAUUAGCUAGUUGGUAAGGUAACGGCUUACCAAGGCAACGAUGCAUAGCCGACCUGAGAGGGUGAUCGGCCACACUGGAACUGAGACACGGUCCAGACUCCUACGGGAGGCAGCAGUAGGGAAUCUUCCGCAAUGGGCGAAAGCCUGACGGAGCAACGCCGCGUGAGUGAUGAAGGUCUUCGGAUCGUAAAACUCUGUUAUUAGGGAAGAACAUAUGUGUAAGUAACUGUGCACAUCUUGACGGUACCUAAUCAGAAAGCCACGGCUAACUACGU
rnacentral:rRNA from 1 species